rnacentral:lncRNA from 1 species
GUUGAGGGAACUACAGUAGGUCGAAAUCUCGACCUAAUUUUUAAUUUUCUGAUUUGAAACUCAAACUUAUUUUGCAGAGAUAGUUACAAAUUAAAGGUCUUGCUUCAAAAAAUUGUAAAUUUUGUUGCUAUUAGUUGGGAUGAAUCAUUGAUAUUUAAUAGUUUCAUGUAAAAAUAUCUUGGUGAGAAAAGAUAGAAGAA